rnacentral:misc_RNA from 1 species
AAACAAUUUUCCUCACUGUUCUGCAGGCAAAAGUAGCCAACAAGAUGGUAAAGGUGAACAUGAACUGAUAACGAUGCAUACCAAAUAUUAAUAACAUCUACAUGGAUCUGCCGAUGAUAGAUAGAACUAGAGGCACAAUAAUAUCAUACAAAAAAUUAUGGGUUCCCCUAAAGCAUGGACAAAGCCUACUAACAAGAGCAAGAAAAAAUGGCUAUAUUACAUGGUUUGACUUACAAACAAAUGCCAGGAUAUAAGGAACUGUAAAAGGGCCAAAAGUUGAAAACAGAUUAGACCUAAAUUGACUUGGAGG